GAUGAACGCUAGCUACAGGCUUAACACAUGCAAGUCGAGGGGCAGCAUGGUCUUAGCUUGCUAAGGCCGAUGGCGACCGGCGCACGGGUGAGUAACACGUAUCCAACCUGCCGUCUACUCUUGGACAGCCUUCUGAAAGGAAGAUUAAUACAAGAUGGCAUCAUGAGUCCGCAUGUUCACAUGAUUAAAGGUAUUCCGGUAGACGAUGGGGAUGCGUUCCAUUAGAUAGUAGGCGGGGUAACGGCCCACCUAGUCUUCGAUGGAUAGGGGUUCUGAGAGGAAGGUCCCCCACAUUGGAACUGAGACACGGUCCAAACUCCUACGGGAGGCAGCAGUGAGGAAUAUUGGUCAAUGGGCGCAGGCCUGAACCAGCCAAGUAGCGUGAAGGAUGACUGCCCUAUGGGUUGUAAACUUCUUUUAUAAAGGAAUAAAGUCGGGUAUGUAUACCCGUUUGCAUGUACUUUAGGAAUAAGGAUCGGCGAACUCCGG
rnacentral:rRNA from 1 species